CAGUAGCCGCGGUAAGACAGAGGUCCCGAGCGUUGUUCGGAUUCAUUGGGCGUAAAGGGUGUGUAGGAGGUCGGGUAAGUCAGGUGUGAAAUCUCACAGCUUAACUGUGAAACUGCGCUUGAUACUGCUCGGCUAGAGGAUCGGAGGGGGUAUCGGAAUUUAUGGUGUAGCAGUGAAAUGCGUAGAUAUCAUAAGGAACACCGGUGGCGAAGGCGGAUACCUGGAAGAUUCCUGACUCUGAAACACGAAAGCCAGGGGAGCAAACGGGAUUAGAUACCCCAGUAGUCCCUGUCUCUUAUAA
rnacentral:rRNA from 1 species